rnacentral:snRNA from 1 species
AGCUUUGCGCAGUGGCAGUAUCGUAGCCAAUGAGGUUUAUCCGAGGCGCGAUUAUUGCUAAUUGAAAACAAAACUCCUAGCAAGACUCAGAGCAUCAGCCACUGAGAUGGCUUCUGGCAAACAUAUGCUUGC